CUGACAUCUCUAGAGGCUGGGGUCUGUUGUUUACACAGAGAAUAAGGACAUCAGAGAGUAAAAAACAGCAGAAGCUUCCCAUGACAACUUGCCUUGAAGCUGUCUUUAAAUGACCAUCUCAAGGGGUGACAGAGCGUUUCAGUUUCUGUGACUCAUUCAAUACUGUGGCUUUC
rnacentral:sRNA from 1 species